rnacentral:rRNA from 1 species
UGCGGAGGAAAAGAAACUAACAAGGAUUCCCAAAGUAACGGCGAGUGAACUGGGAAGAGCCCAACGCUGAAUCUUUCGAUUUUAUAUCGUGAAGAAAUGUAGCGUAUAGGUAUGGUUGUCGGUUUGUUUAGCAUGUCCAAAGUUCCUUUGAUAGGGGCCAUAUUCCGAAGAGGGUGCGAGACCUGUGCGGACAGUUGAGCAUACCGUAUGAUUAUACCGUAGAGUCGGGUUGCUUGAAAGUGCAGCCUUAAGUGGGUGAUAAACUUCAUCUAAGGCUAAAUACGAACGCGAAUUCGAUAGCAAACAAGUACUGUGAAGGAAAGUUGCAAAGAACUUUGAAGAGAGAGUUCAAGAGAACGUGAAAUCGUUGAAGUGGAACCGGAGAGAAUUGACGUAGUCUGGUGGA